UGUUUCGGCUAGGGGGCCAUCCCGGCUUACCAACCCGAUGCAAACUGCGAAUACCGGAGAAUGUUAUCACGGGAGACACACGGCGGGUGCUAACGUCCGUCGUGAAGAGGGAAACAACCCAGACCGCCAGCUAAGGUCCCAAAGUCAUGGUUAAGUGGGAAACGAUGUGGGAAGGCCCAGACAGCCAGGAUGUUGGCUUAGAAGCAGCCAUCAUUUAAAGAAAGCGUAAUAGCUCACUGGUCGAGUCGGCCUGCGCGGAAGAUGUAACGGGGCUAAACCAUGCACCGAAGCUGCGGCAGCGACACUCAGGUGUUGUUGGGUAGGGGAGCGUUCUGUAAGCCUGCGAAGGUGGCCUGUGAGGGUUGCUGGAGGUAUCAGAAGUGCGAAUGCUGACAUAAGUAACGAUAAAGCGGGUGAAAAGCCCGCUCGCCGGAAGACCAAGGGUUCCUGUCCAACGUUAAUCGGGGCAGGGUGAGUCGACCCCUAAGGCGAGGCCGAAAGGC
rnacentral:rRNA from 1 species